rnacentral:rRNA from 1 species
UGAGCCAAGUUUAGGGUUUUCUCAAAACCCAAGCAGUAUUGAACUGAAGAGUUUGAUCAUGGCUCAGAUUGAACGCUGGCGGCAGGCCUAACACAUGCAAGUCGAGCGGCAGCACGGGAGCU